AUUGCUUCUUGGCCUUUUGGCUAAGAUCAAGUGUAUAAUCUGCUAUCAUUCAACUGACAUUUUUUAUUUUUUUUAUUUUAUUUAUUUUUUAAUAUUUUUUGGUACCAGGGAUCGAACUCAGGACCUUGCGCUUGCAAGGCAGGCGCGGUGCCACUGAGCUAAAACCCUGGCCCUCAA
ensembl:snRNA U2 U2 spliceosomal RNA